CGUCAGGGCUUAUCGGACGGAUUAACACUAAAACCCCACAAUGUCCUUGAAACCACGAGUAGUUGACUUCGACGAAACAUGGAACAAACUUCUAACAACAAUUAAGGCUGUUGUUAUGUUGGAUUAUGUUGAAAGAGCGACGUGGAAUGACCGCUUCUCAGACAUUUAUGCUUUGUGUGUGGCCUAUCCUGAACCUCUUGGAGAGAGACUUUAUACUGAGACAAAAAUUUUCUUGGAAAAUCAUGUACGCCAUUUGCACAAGGUAACCCACGCAGUUACUGAUGUGUGUGUGUCAACACUGCUUACCCUUUUUUCAACUUUGUGGAGGGUUUUUGUGUUGUUCACAUGAAGUUAUACAGGUUUUUUGAGGUUAAAUUAGGGAUGUCAGUGGUCUGGAGAAUAUGCAGCUGUAGAAGUGAGAGAUCUGUCUGUAUUUGUGUGUUUUAUAAACCCGUUGACUUGAAAAGUAAGUUUGUUCUUCUCUGUUUAGUGUUUAUAUUCAAACAAGUUGUAGAAGUGUCUUUAUAUUCCAAAUGUGUUGGAUGUUGUAAUUAGCCUUUUGUUAACUCUAAAAUUUCACUCUAGUGUCUUUAGGACAGAUUGUUUCUAUUCUACUGAGGAAAAAUUCUAAAAUAUGUAGGAAAUAGAGUAA